ACUUCAGCAUGCUUUACAUAACACUUCAACAUGCUGUACACCACACUUAAGCAUGCUUUACACAACGCUUCGACAAGCUUUACACCACACUUAAGCAUGCUUUACACCACACUUCAGCAUGCUUUACAGAACGCCUCGACAAGCUUUACACCACCCUUAAGCAUGCUUUACAGAACGCCUCGACGUGCUGUACACCACCCUUAAGCAUGCUUUACACAACACUUAAGCAUGCUUUACACCACACUUCAGCAUGCUUUACAGAACGCCUCGACAAGCUUUACACCACCCUUAAGCAUGCUUUACAGAACGCCUCGACAUGCUGUACACCACCCUUAAGCAUGCUUUACACAACGCCUCAACAUGCUGUACACCACACUUAAGCAUGCUUUACACAACGCCUCGACAUGCUGUACACCACACUUAAGCAUGCUUUACACAACGCCUCGACAAGCUUUACACCACCCUUAAGCAUGCUUUACAAAACGCCUCGACAUGCUGUACACCACACUUAAGCAUACUUUACAGAACGCCUCGACAAUCUUUACACCAUCCUUAAGCAUGCUUUACACAACGCCUCGACAAGCUUUACACCACCUUUAAGCAUGCUUUACACAACGCCUCGACAAGCUUAAACCACCCUUAAGCAUGUUUUACACAACGCCUCGACAAGCUUUACACCACCCUUAAGCAUGCUUUACAGAACGCCUCGACAAGCUUUACACCACCCUUAAGCAUGCUUUACAGAACGCCUCGACAAGCUUUACACCACCCUUAAGCAUGCUUUACAGAACGCCUCGACAAGCUUUACACCACCCUUAAGCAUGCUUUACAGAACGCCUCGACAAGCUUUACACCACCCUUAAGCAUGUUUACACCACAAUUCAAUAUGCUUUAUACUAAACUUCAUCAUGCUAUUUACAACACCUCAACAUGCUUAACACCACGCUUCGACAUGUUUUACACAACCCUUCGGUUCCUAAACAACCCUUUAAGCAUGCUGUACAUCACACUUCAAUAUCAUACUUAACAUCACGAUUCAACAUGCUUUACACAACCUUCAGCAUGCUUUACACCUAGCCUCAGCACCUUUUACGUCACACUUCAGCAUGCUUUACACCACUUUUAACACGCAUUACACCGCGCUUCAACAUGCUUUACACCACCAUUCAGCAUGUUUCACACCACAUUUCAACAUACUUUAUGACACCCUUCGACAAGACUUACACCACACUUCAACAUAUCUACACCACACUUCAACAUAUCUACACCACACUUCAACAAAUCUACACCACACUUUAACAUAAUUUACACCAGGCUUCUAUAUGCUUAACAGAACAUUUCAACAUGCGUUACGAUACAUAUUUCUUACACCAAGCUUCGACAUCUUUCACAGUUAAUGUCAACAUACUUUACACUGCUUUCGACAUGUAUUACUCAACGCCUUCGACAUGUUUUUCGGUUUAUUUCAUAGUGCUUUAAGAACUGUUAAUUUCAACAUGUCUAACGCCGCACUUCAACAUGCUUUACACAAAACUUCGACAUGCUUUUCAGUAUAAUUCAACAUGCUUUACUGUAUUGUAUAUUUCAACAUGUCUUGAACAUGCUUUACACCGCACAUCAGCAUACUUUAAACACGCUUCAAGAUAAUGGUGUGUUUUUAAUUUAAAAGGACUAGUUACAUAUGGUCCGUUUUCAAAAAACGUUUGCGCGUGAAAUGUGAACAAAUACAAAAUAUUGUUUCAAUGAUAAAACAUCGUUAAAAGUUCAUCUUUGUUUUACAAAAUUCAUUUCAAAUGAUUAUCUACCAAUUGUUGUUUGGUGAUUGUCUGUAACAUUGAGCAAAUAUUUCAACUUCAACAAAUCGUUGCCUACAUAAAUGCUGUGAACGCUUCUGGGAAGGAUUUUACGUGACUUUUAACAUUUUGAACUAGAUAUUGCGUCAUUAUGUAUUAUAUUGUUACAGUAUUAUAGUCAAACUUGUCUUAAGGGUGGAACCACAUUCCAUCGUACCGGUAUAAACAACGGAUUAAUCUUCAAGACUAAUCUGAAUUUAAGUAAUCAUGCUUAUUUUUUUAAAUCAAAUAUCUUGUUUAUGGCCAGAUUGGACUCGAAAUUUUCAUAAAACCAUCGUCUGCUGAGUGCAUUCCACGAAGAUUGUCUGUAUCUAACAUGAUUGGUAGGAUUUACUGAAAUGCGCUUAAUUUUGGGGUGAAAUUCUUCCAAUUUCAUGUUAAAACUUCGAGUUUAUAUAUAAAAACUUGUUAAUGACACGUUUAUCUGUCUCUUGACAUAAGUUAAGUCGGUUUGAAUCAAUAUCAAGCAAAAUAAAUACGGGUACAGAAUUGAAAUUUUGUUAUUUAAGUUGACAUUUAGGCUAUUGAAAUAACGUUUGAAAACGAUUCGAGAUGGGCAGUUUAACGCUAAAUACUGCUUUCAUGGUGACAAUGUGUCUGGUUCUUGCAUUUUGGAUAAAACAAUCAUCGUCACAGGAUCACGUGGAUUGUAACAUCACCAUGCCCAAUACCUGCCCGAACGGCUCGUGCUGUGUCAGGGACGAGUUUUACUUCACGGACACCCAGUGUAAGCCCCUAGGGGUUGUAGGCACCCAGUGCACCAUUAGACCUUCCCAGUUUGAGUGUCCCUGCCACUCGGACCUCGUGUGCGAAUCCAACAUCGAGGGUCAUAACCCAUCACUCUUCGGGAAGUGUGUCCCCCCACACGAAAACACAACGUCGGAUCCAUCCAUCGUCGGAUAGAGGCCCGAUAUAAGACAUGUGAUAACUUUUAAUUAAUUAGCUACGGGCGAUUAAGAUGUAUAAAGUGUAAGAUGUCGGUGUGAUUUUCUUAUAAAUGUUAAUACAAUCAGUGAAUAAGUUCUUGCAAUGGUUUUGUUUGUAAAUGUUUAUACAAUGUAUAAACAUUUUGAUCGAGUCAUAGUACGUUCUUCCCUCGGGACUUAUUCAUUCACAGCAUUGUUCUAAAAAGUGAUAAGUCUGUAUAAAAAAAAUCAAUAGACACUCUUCCAAGUCUACUUUUUGAUAAAUAAAAUGUGAUAAUUAUCAUAGAUCUAAAUAAAUGUGUUUAACCCAAUGCUUAAAGCGACACUCUUAUUCAGAAAUCAAUAUAAACACAUGUAUAACGAUCAUCAAUUUUGACUGAUUAGUCUUUAACUUAUAACUAAAUAAUGCAUUUAAGAAUAUUUUGUUACUUAUAACAAAAUUUUAACCGUGUAUUUAAUAGCAGAAAGCGCAACAAUAUUAAAUGACUGGUGAAUGCUAAAAGAUUUACUGUGGUCUUCUAUAGUCUCAUAAGGUUGAAGUACCGUGUUUUAUGUUCAUUUCUUUCAAAUCAAACUCGGUAUCCUUCAUAAGAACCAUUGUUUUCGACAUUUAUUCAUCUUUUUUGGAAUAUUAAAACGAUAUUACUAAUUGUGGUAAAUCUUAUGAGUUUGUUAACUUGCGCUUUAUAUCUAAUUAAAAAAUUGUGAAAUUUGGUUGCGAUCAUUUUUACAGAAAGUGACAAUUUACGGAUUGUUUUAAGCUUUGUAACCAAUAGUUUCUCGAGUCGCAUAUUUCUUCUUAAUAUUUAUAUGAUUUGAAAGAGAAAAACAAACGUG